rnacentral:rRNA from 1 species
AUACGGAGGAUGCGAGCGUUAUCCGGAUUUAUUGGGUUUAAAGGGUGCGUAGGCGGACGAUUAAGUCAGCUGUGAAAUGCCCGCGCUUAACGCGGGAAGUGCAGUUGAUACUGGUUGUCUGGAGUGCCGUUGCCGUGGGGGGAAUGUGUAGUGUAGCGGUGAAAUGCAUAGAUAUUACACAGGACGCCGAUUGUGAAGACACCUCACGAAGCGGUAACUGACGAUGAGGCACGAAAGCGUGGGGAUCGAACAGGAUUAGAUACCCUGGUAGUCCACGCAGUAAACGAUGAUGACUAACCGUCGGCGAUAAACCGCCGGUGGCCAAGCGAAAGCGAUAAGUCAUCCACCUGGGGAGUACGACCGCAAGGUUGAAACUCAAAUGAAUUGACGGGG